AAAAGUCUCAAAGUUGCUUUGUACACCUGAGGUUCCAGUUGUGGCCCCACAAGAUCCCUUUGAAUGGAACAUUGUCGGAUCUCACAAUAAGACCUUUCCAACUUCAAGUAAACAAGAAAGCUGUACUUCGCCAAAGAGAGUACUCCAUUUAAAGGUGGAAGAACAAAUGGACUUUUCUGUGGAGCUCAAUCCAAAGUGGUUUGAUGGUGAAAUGCUGGAAAUAUUGGGGGAUGGCAACACACCAACUUUUGGAGAUGCUUCUAUUGCGCCAUUUCAAAAAACUAAGGCUUCUCCAACUUCAAGCCAACAUCAAAGCUGUGCUUCACCAAAGAAAGCACCACAUCUACAGG